rnacentral:rRNA from 1 species
AGAGUUUGAUCCUGGCUCAGGAUGAACGCUAGCGGGAGGCUUAACACAUGCAAGUCGAGGGGUAACAGGGGUAGCAAUACCUGCUGACGACCGGCGUACGGGUGAGUAACGCGUAUGCAACCUGCCCUAUACAGGAGGAUAGCCCGGAGAAAUUCGGAUUAAUACUCCAUGUAGCAUUUUUUUCGCAUGAAUUAGAUGUUAAAGAUUUAUCGGUAUAGGAUGGGCAUGCGUCCCAUUAGCUAGUUGGUGAGGUAACGGCUCACCAAGGCAUCGAUGGGUAUGGGGUCUUAAAGGAUGGUCCCACACACUGGCACUGAGACACGGGCCAGACUCCUACGGGAGGCAGCAGUGAGGAAUAUUGGUCAAUGGGUGAGAGCCUGAACCAGCCAUCCCGCGUGCAGGAUGACGGUCCUAGUGAUUGUAAACUGCUUUUCUAUGAGAUGAAUAAGAAUUACGUGUAGUUCGAUGACCGUAUUAUAGGAAUAAGCAUCGGCUAACUCCGUGCCAGCAGCCGCGGUAAUACGGAGGAUGCAAGCGUUAUCCGGAUUUAUUAGGUUUAAAGGGUGCGUAGGUGGGCGUUUAAGUCAGUGGUUAAAGCCAUUAGCUUAACUAAUGUAUGCCAUUGAUACUGGAUGUCUUGAAUGUGGUAGAGGUAGGCGGAAUGUGUUGUGUAGCGGUGAAAUGCUUAGAUAUAACACAGAACACCGAUUGCGAAGGCAGCUUACUAUUCCAUUAUUGACGCUGAUGCACGAAAGCGUGGGGAUCAAACAGGAUUAGAUACCCUGGUAGUCCACGCUGUAAACUAUGAUCACUCGUUUUUGGCGAUAUAUAGUCAGAGACUGAGCGAAAGCAUUAAGUGAUCCACCUGGGGAGUACGUUCGCAAGAAUGAAACUCAAAGGAAUUGACGGGGGCC